AAACUCAAGAUUCCUUACCCAUCUGAUGGAAACACUGGUCUGAGUGGGUAUAAAAGAGGAAAAGUAAAAUGGAAACUAACAUAAUUUUUUUUGUGACACACAAUUUAGUUUUAAGCAAAC
rnacentral:snoRNA from 1 species